GACACACACACUACAGUGGACACAGACAACUUGGUCAGUCAGGAAAAAGAUAGCAGGCGGCUCGACGUUCCAGCCUGGAUCUCGCUGAGAAAACACACACUCACACACCACCACCACAUCACACUGACCCACUGGAACCUCAUAGAACCGACGGCAAGGCCUACCCUUCCUUUCCGAUGUGACAGUAACAUAGUGACCGCCAGAAGUCCAGUCUGUGCCCAACCAGCAGACCAUACAGCCAGAGAGGGUUAAAGCGGAGCGAGUAGGCUAAUCAAACACCACUAGAGGAUGGGAGUGCAGAGCAACCGGAGGAUGUGAGAAUCGGAGGAUGUGAGUACUGGAAGAUGUGAGUAUCGGAGGAUGAAAGAGCGGAAAUAUAAGUACUUUCAGGUACCUUUCCUCAAACAGCACUGAAUUGUACAAGGAUACAAGGUUUAUUUGUCACAUGCAUAUAAUUACCAAAGUAAAGAAUGCAGUGAAAUUGUCAGAGAAUGCAGUGAAAUUGUCAGGAUGACAAUUUCAUAGUUUCAUAGCUUCUUGUAUGUUUCUAACUAGUAUAUCACUGUGGCCAAAAAGCUGUAGCAUAUGUAUAAUAAAAUUGAAUGUAAAUAUCUGUAAUCUGUGACUUUUUCUUGGAAGAUAAUAAAGAAUAAUGGAAUACUAUGUGUUUCCCAAUGACUGGGGGGUGAGACGAUUCAGCUGAGAAUUGUACAUGAUAAUUUGCAUGGAUGUAUCAAAACAUUUGCAACUUGAUCAAAGGAAUGAGAAACUGCUUUUUUGAAGUGACACAAUGAUCUGAAGAUUGAACAGGUAGUUUUGAGAAUUUCAAUUCUGAUCUGAGAAAUGUACCAAAGCGACUAAGAAAAACUGUAAUCUUCCUCGUCCAGACAUUACAGUUUUUGUCUUUUUCUGUUUUGGGUCAAUGCAAUAAAAAAAAUAACUAGAAUGCAUUUCCCCGAUGGGAAAGUGCGAAGUGUGCUUGCUCCGACGCGCCGCGACAGCUUCCCGGCAGGAGACGCGACCACUCGCCCUCAGGUCAAAGCGCCAAAGUUUGGCCAAGACGCGAAGCUGCUUUGAGUUUGGCGGCGUUGCCCUCGAUUGCCGAAUUCUUAAACUGACGUGAAGGGUUGCCUAGGUUCAUCAGUGGUAUGUCCCAGAGCACCUCAAUGUAAAAAUGUGGAUGUCAUC